UGCAAGUCGAGGGGUAGAAGAGGCUUGCUUCUUUGAGACCGGCGCACGGGUGCGUAACGCGUAUGCAACCUACCUUCAUCUGGGGGAUAGCCCGGAGAAAUCCGGAUUAAUACCGCAUAAAAUCACAGGAUGGCAUUAUCCAAUGAUCAAACAUUUAUGGGAUGGAGAUGGGCAUGCGUGUCAUUAGCUAGUUGGCGGGGUAACGGCCCACCAAGGCGACGAUGACUAGGGGAUCUGAGAGGAUGGCCCCCCACACUGGUACUGAGACACGGACCAGACUCCUACGGGAGGCAGCAGUAAGGAAUAUUGGUCAAUGGAGGCAACUCUGAACCAGCCAUGCCGCGUGCAGGAAGACUGCCCUAUGGGUUGUAAACUGCUUUUAUUCGGGAAUAAACCUAGAUACGUGUAUCUAGCUGAAUGUACCGAAGGAAUAAGGAUCGGCUAACUCCGUGCCAGCAGCCGCGGUAAUACGGAGGAUCCAAGCGUUAUCCGGAUUUAUUGGGUUUAAAGGGUGCGUAGGCGGCCUGUUAAGUCAGGGGUGAAAGACGGUAGCUCAACUAUCGCAGUGCCCUUGAUACUGAUGGGCUUGAAUGGACUAGAGGUAGGCGGAAUGAGACAAGUAGCGGUGAAAUGCAUAGAUAUGUCUCAGAACACCGAUUGCGAAGGCAGCUUACUAUGGUCUUAUUGACGCUGAGGCACGAAAGCGUGGGGAUCAAACAGGAUUAGAUACCCUGGUAGUCCACGCCCUAAACGAUGAACACUCGCUGUUGGCGAUACACAGUCAGCGGCUAAGCGAAAGC
rnacentral:rRNA from 1 species